rnacentral:tRNA from 1 species
GGGGUUGUGGCUCAGUGGUAGAGCGUUUGCCUAGCACAUGCAAGGCUCCAAGUUCAAUCUUCAACACCA